rnacentral:rRNA from 1 species
CACGGAGGCCUUAGCGCGGUGGUCCCACCUGAUCCCAUGCCGAACUCAGAAGUGAAACGCCGUAGACAGGUGGUGCCGUAGUGUGGGGUGGGCUCCCCAUGCGAGAGUAGGGAACUGCCAGGC